GCGCGAAAACUUUACAAUGCACGAAAGUGUGAUAAGGGAAUCCUAAGUGCUCAUGCACAGCAUGGGCUUUUGCCAAGGGUAAAUACCUUGGAGAAUAAGUGGUGGGUAAGACUGGUGCCAGCAGCCGCGGUAACCCCAGCGCCACAAGUGGGAGCCACAAUUAUUUGGCCUAAAGCGUCCGUAGCUGGCUUGGUAAAUCUUUUGUGAAAUCGAAGAGCUCAACUUUUCGGCAUGCAGGAGACACUGCCUCGCUUGAGACCGGGAGGGGUAAGGAGUAUUCCUGGGGAACCGGUAAAAUGGGAUAAUCCUAGGAAGACUACCUGUGGCGAAGGCGCCUUACCAGAACGGCUCUGACAGUGAGGGACGAAGGCUAGGGGAGCGAACCGG
rnacentral:rRNA from 1 species